GAUGAAGAACGCAGCGAACUGCGAUAAGUAAUGUGAAUUGCAGAAUUCAGUGAAUCAUCGAGUCUUUGAACGCACAUUGCGCCCCCUGGUAUUCCGGGGGGCAUGCCUGUCCGAGCGUCAUUGCUGCCCUCAAGCACGGCUUGUGUGUUGGGCCUCCGUCCUCCUCCCGGGGGACGGGCCCGAAAGGCAGCGGCGGCACCGCGUCCGGUCCUCGAGCGUAUGGGGCUUCGUCACCCGCUCUUGUAGGCCCGGCCGGCGCUUGCCGACACAUCAAUCUUUUUUCCAGGUUGACCUCGGAUCAGGUAGGGAUACCCGCUGAACUUAAGCAUAUCAAUAACGGAGGA
rnacentral:misc_RNA from 1 species